UGGGGAAUAUUGCACAAUGGGCGCAAGCCUGAUGCAGCAACGCCGCGUGAACGAUGAAGGUCUUCGGAUCGUAAAGUUCUGUUGCAGGGGAAGAUAAUGACGGUACCCUGUGAGGAAGCCCCGGCUAACUACGUGCCAGCAGCCGCGGUAAUACGUAGGGGGCGAGCGUUAUCCGGAUUCAUUGGGCGUAAAGCGCGCGCAGACGGCUCUUCAAGCGGAACCUCUAACCCCGGGGCUCAACCUCGGGCCGGGUUCCGAACUGGAGGGCUCGAGUGCGGUAGAGGCAGGCGGAAUUCCCGGUGUAGCGGUGGAAUGCGCAGAUAUCGGGAAGAACACCGAUGGCGAAGGCAGCCUGCUGGGCCGGCACUGACGCUGAGGCGCGAAAGCUAGGGGAGCGAACAGG
rnacentral:rRNA from 1 species